CAGUAAGGAAUAUUGGUCAAUGGAGGCAACUCUGAACCAGCCAUGCCGCGUGCAGGAAGACUGCCCUAUGGGUUGUAAACUGCUUUUAUCCGGGAAUAAACCUACUUACGUGUAAGUAGCUGAAUGUACCGGAAGAAUAAGGAUCGGCUAACUCCGUGCCAGCAGCCGCGGUAAUACGGAGGAUCCAAGCGUUAUCCGGAUUUAUUGGGUUUAAAGGGUGCGUAGGCGGCCUGUUAAGUCAGGGGUGAAAGACGGUAGCUCAACUAUCGCAGUGCCCUUGAUACUGAUGGGCUUGAAUGGACUAGAGGUAGGCGGAAUGAGACAAGUAGCGGUGAAAUGCAUAGAUAUGUCUCAGAACACCGAUUGCGAAGGCAGCUUACUAUGGUCUUAUUGACGCUGAGGCACGAAAGCGUGGGGAUCAAACAGGAUUAGA
rnacentral:rRNA from 1 species